rnacentral:rRNA from 1 species
GCCCAACAGCUAGCCCACCUAAACAAUUUCAACAAACCCUUGUUAAUAACCCCAAAUACCCUAGUAUUUAAAUUAAACAAACCAUUUUUCCCCCUUAGUAUAGGCGAUAGAAAAGGGACUACGGCGCAAUAGAGAAAGUACCGCAAGGGAACGCUGAAAGAGAAAUGAAAUAACCCAGUAAAGCCCAAAAAAGCAGAGAUUUAACCUCGUACCUUUUGCAUCAUGAUUUAGCGAGUGUACCCCAAGCAAAGAGCACUUUAGUUUGACGUCCCGAAACUACGUGAGCUACUCCAAGACAGCCUAUUAAUAGGGCGCACCCGUCUCUGUUGCAAAAGAGUGGGGAGAGCUUUGAGUAGAGGUGAUAAACCUACCGAACCUAGUUAUAGCUGGUUGUCCAAGAAAUGAAUAGAAGUUCAGCCUCUUGGCUUCUCUUUUCACCCUAGUUUAACCCCUAUUGAUGCAUUAAAGAAACCGAGAGAGUUAGUCAAAGGGGGUACAGCCCCUUUGAAUCAAGACACAACUUUAUCAGGAGGGU